rnacentral:rRNA from 1 species
UACGUAGGGGGCAAGCGUUGUCCGGAUUUAUUGGGCGUAAAGAGCGUGUAGGCGGCCAGACAGGUCCGUUGUGAAAACUAGAGGCUUAACCUCUAGACGUCGAUGGAAACCGUCUGGCUAGAGUCCGGAAGAGGAGAAUGGAAUUCCUGGUGUAGCGGUGACAUGCGCAGAUAUCAGGAAGAACACCCGUGGCUAAGGCGGUUCUCUAGUACGGUACUGACGCUGAGACGCGAAAGCGUGGGGAGCGAACAGG